rnacentral:rRNA from 1 species
AUUGAACGCUGGCGGCAGGCUUAACACAUGCAAGUCGAACGAGUGGCGGACGGGUGAGUAAUGCUUGAGAAUCUAGCUUACGGAGGGGGAUAACUGCGAGAAACUGUAGCUAAUACCGCGUACCAUAGGAUGAGCCCAAGUGGGAUUAGGUAGUUGGUGAGGUAACGGCGCACCAAGCCGACGAUUUCUAGCUGGUCUGAGAGGCUGACCAGACACACGGGGACUGAGACACGGCCACGACUCCUACGUGAGGCAGCAGUGGGGAAUAUUGCGCAAUGGGGGAAACCUGACGCAGCCAUGCCGCGUGAAUGAAGAAGGCCUUCGUGUUGUAAAGUUCUUUCGUUAGCGAGGCGUUAACUACAGAAGAAGCACCGGCUAACUACGUGCCAGCAGCCGCGGUAAUUC